UGACACAGUGGGGAUAAUACCUGAGUCUACAGUAUAAUACAGUACAAAGAGGCAUGCAGUUCGUAAAGCGCGCGUUCGACAACCUCAAGUUGUCUUCUGCAUCUUCUCCCCUCCUCGAAGAUCGAGCAGACUGGACUCGUUUGAUAAAAGAGAUCGUCAGUUACGCACACGAUGCCAUCGUUGAGCACGUUCCGCGUGGUUUUUGAUAGACCGGGUGCCACGUACAUUGCUGGUGAAGCAGUUACAGGGACCAUCGUCGUGGAUACUAUAAAGGAAAAAAACAUCAGAGGACUGUAUUUCUCUGCCAAGGGGGAAGCCCGUGUGCGAUGGACGGAAAGGACGAAUGAAAACAAUCGCGUCAACGAGCAAACGUAUACCAACUCACAGAACUACUUCAACGUCCAGUUCAACAUACUGAGCGCUCCUGCUGACGAUUCGCGUGUGCGUAUUCCCGUGGGAUACCACGAGUACCCCUUCCAAUUCCAGCUGCCCAACAGCAUCCCAUCCAGCUUCGAGCACAAGUAUGGGUACAUAAGGUACACGGUGAAAGCUGUGAUCGACAGACCAUGGAGAUUCGAUCACGAGUGCAAAGCUGCGUUCACCGUGGUCUCGAAUUUGAAUUUGAACUCGUACCGAGAGAGAUGCUUGGGAAUCGAUGACGAGGCUCAGAAAAAUUUUUACCAAUGCUGUUGCGGCAAUGUGGGCUCCUUGAACAUACACAUCAGAGUUCCAUCCGCUGGGUACGUUCCAGGACAGUCGAUAAUCACGACGAUUGACUACACCAACUCCUCGAACAGCGUCGAGGUAACGCGGUUCACCACAAAAUUAGUACGAGAACUUAAAUUCCACGCGUCUUCUGGUAAAACAAAGAAAGAAUUUGCCGACGUGCAAAGUAACAAGUACUCAGGACCAUUUUCCAAUGUGGAUCAAGUUUUUCUGGAGCUGCGAAUACCGCCAGUACCACCGUCCAGCCUGGAGCACUGCAGCAUUAUAGACUUGAUUUACUAUCUCAAAGUCGUCGUCCACAUUUCCGGAGCGCACUUCAAGAUUACCAGAAGUUAUCAAGUCCUAAUAGGAACAGUGCCAUUAUUCUGUCCACCCACUGCCCCGCCCUAUAGCGAAGUAAAUAUACAAGGAACUGAAGCGCCUAAUCCAGUAGCUGGACCAUCGAGCAGUGGUUUGCUUAAUGCACCACGACAACCCCUUGGUUUCAUUAUGCCAACCCAGGGUGGCAGCUCGUCCAUCAACUGGCAAAUACCGCCGCCAUCCUACGAGGAAUGCAUGUCAGGGGCUGAGAACAUCAGGGACCACGAUGAAUCGGACUUCGUGCAUGGUGCAGACACCCCAUUCGCGCCUAGAUACCCUGUGUUCGACUAUCCAACGCCAACCAUACAGACCAAAUAAGUAUACUAGAGAAACGGAAAUUUUACGCUGGAGCUACCACAAGGGUUGAAUGGGAGUAUCUCGACGAAGUAUAGUACCCUCGACUCAACCGUUGCAAAUACAUUCGAGGCAGCACGGAUUUCAUCCAAAACCUGAAAGUCUAUCUCGACUGCUGUAUCUAGAUGCAACGCUAAAUACAGUCUUCAACUAUGUAUAUAAUAAAUGUACACGCACAUUUGUACAUUUGCGGGGCAUUCUCAU